rnacentral:rRNA from 1 species
CAGUCGCCACGGUAAUACGUAGGUGGCAAGCGUUGUCCGGAAUUAUUGGGCGUAAAGGGCUCGCAGGCGGUUUCUUAAGUCUGAUGUGAAAGCCCCCGGCUCAACCGGGGAGGGUCAUUGGAGACUGGGAAACUUGAGUGCAGAAGAGGUGAGUGGAAUUCCACGUGUAGCGGUGAAAUGCGUAGAGAUGUGGAGGAACACCAGUGGCGAAGGCGACUCUCUGGUCUGUAACUGACGCUGAGGAGCGAAAGCGUGGGGAGCGAACAGGAUUAGAUACCCCAGUAGUCCCUGUCUCUUAUAC